CAAAGAAUUGGCAAUGUCGUUGCCUUUCUCUGGCGGAGGGCUGGCUACUACCGUUUGAAUUUGGAAUAAGCCCAAUCAUUAAAGCCACCUUUCCUGGAACAGAAGUGUUUUUGACGCCGUGAAUCCUUUGGACCAGUUUCCAGAAUCCUCUUCAGGUAGCGCUUCUCACCAGCGUUUCCCUUUUUAUUUUGGAUAACUAGGUUCAGUCCGAAUCAUUCUAUCUCACUGGUCAAGCUCAGCCUUCUUUUUCGUUAUUCUCAUUUUUUUUCUUUCACAUGUGACAAAACAAGUGUAUUUGAACACCGCUCCCACCCUGUCCCCCACCCACUUCCCUUUAGUAGAGAACACAGUUUGAAAUGAAAAGGAGGCAUAAAUUAUAAAGGGGAAGAUAUGUGUGAGCUAAAAAUGCAGAACUUAGAAACUGGGCACGAAUGUAAGGAACACAAGAUCUCAAACCUACUUUGACUGGAUUUUCUACUUUAAUCCAUGUGUGUUGGAUGCAUCUAGAACUCUUGGCGGUGUUAUCAGAUAUUAGCUAUUCAUUCCAUGAUACAAGAACCCACAAGAAGGUCAUGCAAAGUUUAUUAAAGUAUAAAGCAGAAGCAGC
rnacentral:lncRNA from 1 species